AGUGAACGCUGGCGGUAGGCCUAACACAUGCAAGUCGAACGGCAGCACAGGAGAGCUUGCUCUCUGGGUGGCGAGUGGCGGACGGGUGAGGAAUACAUCGGAAUCUACUCUGUCGUGGGGGAUAACGUAGGGAAACUUACGCUAAUACCGCAUACGACCUACGAGUGAAAGCAGGGGACCUUCGGGCCUUGCGCGAUUGAAUGAGCCGAUGUCGGAUUAGCUAGUUGGCGGGGUAAAGGCCCACCAAGGCGACGAUCCGUAGUUGGUCUGAGAGGAUGAUCAGCCACACUGGAACUGAGACACGGUCCAGACUCAGACGGGAGGCAGCAGUGGGGAAUAUUGGACAAUGGGCGCGAGCCUGAUCCAGCCAUAUCGCGUGGGUGAAGAAGGCCUUCGGGUUGUAAAGCCCUUUUGUUGGGAAAGAAAUCCAGCUGGCUAAUACCCGGUUGGGAUGACGGUACCCAAAGAAUAAGCACCGGCUAACUUCGUGCCAGCCGCCGCCGUAA
rnacentral:rRNA from 1 species